GACGUAGGAGGCGAGCGUUGUCCGGAUUCAUUGGGCGUAAAGAGCACGCAGGCGGUUUGGCAAGUCGGAUGUGAAAACCCGAAGCUCAACUUCGGGCCUGCAUCCGAAACUGCCCGACUAGAGGUAGGUAGGGGAGAUCGGAAUUCCUGGUGUAGCGGUGAAAUGCGUAGAUAUCCGGAGGAACACCGGUGGCGAAGGCGGCUUCCUGGACCGACACUGACGCUGAGGCGCGAAAGCUAGGGGAGCAAACGGG
rnacentral:rRNA from 1 species